AGCUCUCCUAUAUGAGGUGUCUGUUGACCCCUGCUGGGAGAUGUCUCCCAGUCAGGAGACAAGGUGGUCAGGGACCCACUUGAGGAGGCAGUCUGACCCUUAGCAGAGCUCGAACGCUGUGCUGGGAGAUCCACUGCACAGAGCCAGCAGGCAGGAAUGCUUAAGUCUGCUGAAGCUCUGCCCACAGCCACCCUUUCCCCCAGGGUGCUGUGUCCCAGGGAGAUGGGAAUUUUAUCUGGAAGCCCCUGACUGGGGCUGCUGCCUUUUUUUCAAAGAUGCCCUGUCUAGAGAGGAGGAAUCUAGAGAGGCAGUCUGGCUACAGCGGCUUUGCUGAGCUGCAGAGGGCUCCACCCAGUUUUAACUUCCCCAUGGGUUUGUUUACACUGUGAGGGGAAAACCACUUACUCAAGCCUCAGUAAUGGCGACACCCUUCCCCCACCAAGCUCGAGUGUCCCAGGUAGACUUCAGAUUCUGGUGCUGCCAGCGAGAAUUUCAAGCCAGUAGAUCGUUUCUUGCUGGGCUCUGUGGGGGUGUGAGCCGCUGAGCUAGACCACUUGGCUCCUUGGCUUCAGCCCCCUUUCCAGGGGAGUGUCACUUCUGUCUCGCUGGCGUUCCAGGCACCACUGGGGUGUGAAAAUAACUCCUGAAACUAGCUCUAUGUCUGCCCAAAUGGCUGCCUGGUUUUGUGCUUGAAACCCAGGGACCUGUUGGCAUAGGCACCUGAGGGAAUCUCCUGGUCUGCGGUUUGCAAAGACCACGGGAAAAGCAUAGUAUUUGGGCCCGGGUGCACCGUUCCUCAUGGCACAGUCCCUCAUGGCUUCCCUUGGCUAGGGGAGGAUGUUUUUCCCUCAGUGUUUUUGAUGCUUAUGGAUGUGUGACAAUGUCUGUACAUUGAGGGAUUAGGUAUUUAUUUUAGUCUUCACCAUCCAGCUUUGUGCCUGCUUUUCUUUUCAGAGGGCCUUCCAUGGUUCUAAGCAGACUGAUGGUUGUGUUCCCUGAGCCUGUGACCAAUGCAGCUGUCUCAGCAAAAGGAAACACUCUUAGCUUGCCACAAGUCUCACAAGGACUCUGUGGUUGAUAUGGCUUUCCAGCACAGAUGGACCGGGGAAGACUCAAGGAAUGUACUGGGCCUGUAAGGGAAUACUGUUCACGGACCUGAGUCUCAAAAACUAUACCAAUGGCCCAGCAGGCAUGCCUCUCAGCAGGUCUCUGCACUGGCAGGAUGGGUCUCAGGCUGUAGCUAGAGGGGCUGGAGUUGAGAUUGGCCCCUUCAGGAUCUGCUGUGGGGAGGAGCCUAGUUGGCCUGUCUUACUGGCUUACAUGAGUGUGCAUCACCCAGCAGAUACCUGCACAAGCAUGUGCAGUAGGAAGAGCUGGAGCUGAGACUGGGCCCUUUGGGAUCUAUUGUGGAAUGGAGGCUGCCUUGUCUAUCACAUUGUCUUAGACAAGUCUUUGCCUCUCAGCAGGUCCCUGCACAGACAGGAUAGUUGCCAGACUGCAGUAAGAGGGGCUGUAACUGAGGCUGGGCCCUCUUCAGAUUUGUUGUGAGAUGGAGGCUGGAGAGCUCAGUCUCCUUGGCUCAGAGGGGCACACACAUCUCCCAGGAGGACCCUGACGAGGCCAGAUAGUUCGUCAACUGCAGCAAGACAGGCUGGAGCUGAGAAUGGGCCACUUCAGGAUCAGCUGUGGGCUGGAGAAAAUAAACUCCUGGAUCCAUAUUUCACACCUUAAGAAAGCACUCCAACCCCCAAGGGCAUCAACUUCAACAGGAAAACUGACCCUUCAACUUACCAAAUCUUUGAAGUGACUAGUUGUAUAGUACAACAAGCAGAAAAUUUGCUAUGGAGGUUGUGUUAACUGUUGACAUUUAUGUGAGAUUUUUGCUGCAUAUUUGUUAGAAAAGGCUCAACAAAAUUAUAAUAAACAAUGAUUGUGUUAUUAAUUUUUUAACUGUUAUAUCAGUUAUAAAUGCUUGGAAUGAAAAUGCCUUAAGGAAAUUAGUCAAUAAUGUCACAUAUGUUACUUUUUCUAAUUGGAUCUGCCAUGAUUGCUAUAAAACUUUGUCCUUCCACUAUGACUCAUGAGUAACUUCAAUAACAAACUGCUUGGGAAUUCCCAAUGCCACAGUAGAACUAGUAUAUGCAAACAUUAUUUAUUAUCAGGGUGCACAUAAAGGGAAACUAGGACAAAAACCUACCCUGUUUCAAUUUGAUCUUGUUCUCUUAAGCAUGGAAAAAGAAUACUUGUUGCUAUAACUCAACAACUAAAACUCUUGUUUCUCAGGAGAAAAUGCAAAAAGAAAACCAGUUUAUUUGUCAUUUUUGGUUUUGCAAAUGCUAAUCAAAGUUGGUCUUUAUGCAAUGCAAUUUUUCCCACUCUUAAAACUGACUGAUAACAGCAAAUCAGACUGAACCUAAAAAUGACUCCUUCAAAAGUACUAAAAGCCUGUGUGCUUAUGUUUAUAUAUUUGUCUGUGAAUGGGGACCAAAUCCUUUUAUAUGCUGGGGAAGAAAAUUCCUUGACUCUUGGUCAUUAGCAAGUCAGUGUACUUGGGUGCUCAUGUCACUAAAAUACCUCAUUUAUCCCUCCAAUAACACCUUCUUCUGGCCAGAAGGAUUAUAUUUAUCCUGUUUCAAAAGGGAAAAUCCUGGAGCACCUGAGGCAUAAAUAUGUCAUCUUCUGCCCAAUUAGUGUUUUUUUGUUUGUUUGUUUGCUUUGCCUGGAGUAGAACAUGGAGAAAUAUGAUCAUGAUUACUGAUUUCUCUCAAAUCCUAGGCAACCUAGCUGAUACGGUUUAUCUCUGUGUCCCCACCCAAAUCUCAUCUCAAAUUGUAAUCCCCACAUGUUGAGGGAGGGGAGUGAUUGGAUUAUGGGGGCUGUUUCCCUCAUGCUGUUCUUGUGAUAGUGAGUGAAUUCUCAUAAGAUCUGAUGGUUUUAUAAAUGGUAUUUUUUCCUGUGUGCUCGCUUCUGUCUCCUGCCACCAUGUGAAGAAGGUCCUUCCUUCCCCUUCACCUUCCACCAUGAUUGUAAGUUUCCUGAGGCUUCUCCAGAUGUGUGGAACUGUGAGUCAAUUAAACCUUCUUCCUUUAUAAAUUACACAGUCUUUGGAAGUUCUUUAUAGCAGUGUGAAAAUGUACUAAUACACUAACCUAUUCAACUGUCAAAGUUAUUGCCACUCAGUAAUAAUCUUUAAAUUCAUUAGCAGCAACUGUAUUAAAUAACAGAAUUACUCUAGAUUAUCUGUUGGCAGUACAGGGAAAUGUUUGUGGGAUAGUUAACAACUUACGUUAUACUUGGGAAAAUGCCUCUGAAGUAGUUGAACUGGAGCUCAAUAAAAUUAGUUUAGGCAGGUCGGCUAAGACAAGUGCCAUCUAUUGGUAAGCCAUCCUUUGACUUAUUUAGUUGUUACCAGAAAGGAUACAUUCCUUGACUAGAUCCCUGUUACAACUUAGUAUCAUUAUAACAUUAUUGUUUCUUUUUUAAAACUGUUCACUAAGUUCUUGGAAAACAUUAUUGUUUCUGAUAAUUUUGUUGAUCUGUAAGUAUUUGUCUCAAUGCUUAGAACAAGCACUAAUGCUGCCCACUGAUUUGAUGUUGGCCCAGAUUCCUGUAGCCUGUUCUGAACAUCCAGAAGGAACUUACAGCACCUAGAAUUAUAAGCUUGACUGAGUCUAUGAAAUAGCUUGUAAAUUCACUUCCCUGUGAGCCAGGGACCCAGAACAGAUAGUCUUACUUCACCCUGGCUUUUGCAGGACAAGAUGGAGCUCAUACAGCAUUGAUUUCGUCAGUGUCUAGGGACCUGUGGUGAUCACAGAUAUUCUCUCCUGGGAGAAAUAUCUUGAUCAAAUGAGGGAAAUGUGAGCUUAUCAAUGUUCCACACUUGCCAUCAGUAAUUUCAUCUUUGUCUACUGACUUCACAUUAAUACUGCCGAUGAACUUUGAGAUCUACAAAGUAACACUUCCUUCACAAAUAUUUGUACUCUCAACAGUACACACUAUAAAGAAACCGGUCACUAUCUUUAAGAACUUUAUAUAUAUAGCUUUUCUGACAAACUGAUGUAAUUUAUUCACGUUUAAUCAACUAAUGAAAUAAUCUGACAAACAAUAUAUGUAAACUAAAUAAGUUUUUCUCAAUGUAAGCCCUCUUUCCUCUUUCAGGUGGUGCAGUCUCUGGCUGCUAACUGGGUUGUAAUCCCUGUUCCUGAAUAAAUGUUUAUUUGCCUCUAGCCUGUUCAU
rnacentral:lncRNA from 1 species